rnacentral:rRNA from 1 species
AGCUCCAAUAGCGUAUAUUUUAGUUGUUGCAGUUAAAAAGCUCGUAGUUGAAUUUCUGGUGGGAGAAUGCAGUGUGACUCUUUGAGUUAUUACUUGCACUCUCUGACCAUCCUUGAGUGGAACCAUUUUGGCAUUAGGUUGUUGAGAUGGCGAUGCUCAUCGUUUACUGUGAAAAAAUUAGAGUGUUCAAAGCAGACUUAUGUCGUUGAAUACAUUAGCAUGGAAUAAUGAGAUAGGACAGCAGUGCUAUUUUGUUGGUUUGCGCGCCGUUGUAAUGAUGAAUAGGGACAGUUGUGGGUAUUCGUAUUCACUUGUAAGAGGUGAAAUUCUUAGAUUAAGGGAAGACGAACUACUGCGAAAGCAUUUACCAAGGAUGUUUUCAUUA